rnacentral:rRNA from 1 species
GAGUUUGAUCAUGGCUCAGGACGAACGCUGGCGGCAUGCCUAAUACAUGCAAGUCGAGCGGACAGAUGGGAGCUUGCUCCCUGAUGUUAGCGGCGGACGGGUGAGUAACACGUGGGUAACCUGCCUGUAAGACUGGGAUAACUCCGGGAAACCGGGGCUAAUACCGGAUGCUUGAUUGAACCGCAUGGUUCAAUUAUAAAAGGUGGCUUUUAGCUACCACUUACAGAUGGACCCGCGGCGCAUUAGCUAGUUGGUGAGGUAACGGCUCACCAAGGCGACGAUGCGUAGCCGACCUGAGAGGGUGAUCGGCCACACUGGGACUGAGACACGGCCCAGACUCCUACGGGAGGCAGCAGUAGGGAAUCUUCCGCAAUGGACGAAAGUCUGACGGAGCAACGCCGCGUGAGUGAUGAAGGUUUUCGGAUCGUAAAACUCUGUUGUUAGGGAAGAACAAGUACCGUUCGAAUAGGGCGGUACCUUGACGGUACCUAACCAGAAAGCCACGGCUAACUACGUGCCAGCAGCCGCGGUAAUACGUAGGUGGCAAGCGUUGUCCGGAAUUAUUGGGCGUAAAGCGCGCGCAGGCGGUUUCUUAAGUCUGAUGUGAAAGCCCCCGGCUCAACCGGGGAGGGUCAUUGGAAACUGGGGAACUUGAGUGCAGAAGAGGAGAGUGGAAUUCCACGUGUAGCGGUGAAAUGCGUAGAGAUGUGGAGGAACACCAGUGGCGAAGGCGACUCUCUGGUCUGUAACUGACGCUGAGGCGCGAAAGCGUGGGGAGCGAACAGGAUUAGAUACCCUGGUAGUCCACGCCGUAAACGAUGAGUGCUAAGUGUUAGAGGGUUUCCGCCCUUUAGUGCUGCAGCAAACGCAUUAAGCACUCCGCCUGGGGAGUACGGUCGCAAGACUGAAACUCAAAGGAAUUGACGGGGGCCCGCACAAGCGGUGGAGCAUGUGGUUUAAUUCGAAGCAACGCGAAGAACCUUACCAGGUCUUGACAUCCCCUGACAACCCUAGAGAUAGGGCUUCCCCUUCGGGGGCAGAAUGACAGGGGGUGCAUGGUUGUCGUC